rnacentral:lncRNA from 1 species
GCCGCCACAAAAUGAGCCUGCUGUCGGCCAUCGACACGAGCGCCGCCUCGGUGACACACACCAGGCGAGCGCCUUCGAUGCCUUCCGGCCCGAGCCGCCCGCCGGCGCCGCGCCCCCAGAGCUGGCCUUCGGCAAGGGCCGCCCAGAGCAGCUGGGCUCGCCCUUGCACUCCAGCUAUCUCAACAGCUUCUUCCAGCUGCAGCGCGGAGAGGCGCUGAGCAGCAGCGUGUACAAGAGUGCCUCUCCCUAUGGCUCCCUCAACAACAUCGCCGACGGCCUCAGCUCCCUCACAGAGCACUUCUCUGACCUGACCCUCACCUCUGAGACCCGCAAGCCCAGCAAGCGGCCCCCACCCAACUACCUGUGCCACCUGUGCUUCAACAAAGGACACUACAUUAAGGACUGCCCCCAGGCACGCCCCAAAGGCGAGGGUCUGACCCCGUAUCAGGGCAAAAAGCGCUGUUUCGGAGAGUACAAGUGUCCCAAGUGCAAGAGAAAAUGGAUGAGCGGGAACUCUUGGGCCAACAUGGGACAGGAGUGCAUCAAGUGCCACAUCAACGUGUACCCACACAAGCAGAGACCCCUGGAGAAGCCCGAUGGCCUGGACGUGUCUGACCAGAGCAAGGAGCACCCCCAGCACCUGUGCGAGAAGUGCAAGGUGCUGGGCUACUACUGCCGGCGCGUGCAAUGACCCGGCCGCCCACCAUGCCCCACCGCCCUCCUGCCAGCUGGAGAAGACGCAACCACCCUGCAUGUCCCCAAGUGUGCACGUGCAAGGGGGCAUCCUCAAAGGCUUACAGGUCUGGUGGGUGGGCUCUUAUGUUCUUGUAUGUUGACAAACAGUGUUAACUGACGUAGCUGCCGCCCCACAAGGCCCGCUCUCUGCGACUCUCUACAGGUGGGCCUGGGUCUGUGUGGAGGGGACAAGGUGAGCAGAGGUCAGCGCACAGGACCCCACAGAGCCUUCAGCGUCCCCUGCAGGCUCUCCUCUGAGACUCCCUUUUGGGUGAGCAGCCUUACAUUGGCCACAAGUGCACUAAAUUUACUGUGAAUCCCAGAGCCUGCAGGGGAUGGUCUCCCAAAACCAGCCAGGUGGCCUUCUCCCACCCAGAACCUUCCAGUUUGCCCUGUGUGAAAAGCCACUCUUGGAAAGCCCUAAUUUUCUAAGUCAGUGCUCAUGGCAAGCUGACUCCUGUUCUAGCAGCUGCUGGGGAGCGGGCAUCUCUGCCCCCUGCCACUUUGAGCCCCAAACCUGACUGCCUCUGAAGCCACUGGCAUUGCACCUGGGCCCCGCACAUCUCCCCUCCCCCUACACCCCAGAGGUCAGGGAUGGGGAGGCACUGAAUGUUGGACGGUGCUCCAGCGUGUGACCUGGGGCACAGAGGGCAACGCCCCCUCCCCCACCACAGACUUCCCCCACGCGUUUGGAUUUUGCCAGCCCUAUCCCCUUCCCUUCUCCUUCCCCUCUCACCCAUGCUGGGGAGCCACACCCGGAAGGAGGCAAUAGGACCCAGCAGGGAAACCACUCUGGCAGGAAGGACCCAGGCCUGGCAGUCCAAAGACCUGGGUUUUAAUGCUGACCCCGCCACUGAUGCACUACAGAGCCUUGAGAAGGAUUCUCACCUCUGGGCCUCUGUUUCCCCACUGAGAGAAAGAGAGAGUGACACCAGAGAGGCCCAUUUCUGUCCUGAUGUUCUGGAAUUCUGCCUGGCUGGGUGCCAUCUCCUGGAGCAGAGAGCUUUAUUUGGAGAGUUUCCCCAGGCUCCCUACCCAUCCCCUUCCCACUAUCACCCAUCAGUCAGUCACUUAAGAAAUCAGGUGGAGGGAUGCAGGUCCUCCCCUGUUGCCCCCUGCAACCCCAGCCAUGUCUUUUGUCCCCUACCCUGCAAACGUGAAGGAGAAAGGUCUCCCCCUCCUUACAGGGCAACCCCAAGACACGCUACAGAACCUCUGGUUUGCAAAGUGGGGACAAUGAUUCCUACCUCCCGAGGGGGCGGAGAGGCCUCCUGGCACUCACACUGGACAGGCCUGCCAAUGCUGUCCUGGCUAGUGGGAAGGAUUGCCUUCCUCUCUGCUCUGUCCCCCAUGAGAAGCCCUAUUUGCUUUGUCAUAUUACCCUUCCUUUCUCCCAGGGCUGGGUCCUUUGAUGUUGCCCCAACAUUAUGCCUCUGUGGGGAAAAAAAAAAAAAAAAAAAAAAAAUCAGACCGCGGAAUGGGCCUGAAAUUCAGUGUUUACCACGGCUCAAGGACACCCAACCUGGGGCCGGUCGUCUUUGGUUUUCAAGUGAAAAUGCUUUGUACAACUGAGGAGUUACGGCAAAGUGUUAAUCAGGGGUCCAGGGAGUGAGUUGAAGAGAUGGAGUUGAGAGUGUUUGCAGCCAGAGGGCUGCAGGGUAGAUUGGGGGGGACCAAGCCCUCUGAGCACUUAGGAAGGGUGUGUGUGCUCCAGCCUGAGCCCUGUAGCUGCCUCCCUCCAGGCCUGCAGGGGCAGAACGCCCGCCACCAACUGUGAACGUGCUUACCGCCCACUGAAGAAUCCCUCUGCUCCCUGCCUGCUCUACUGUGUCAAGGUGAGCCAGAGUCACCCUGGCCCUGGGUUCUCUGUCCCCGAGAAGCUGUCACUGUCAGUCAUCCUCGUGUCCCUCUAAAGAGAGCAUUCACAAGGGGUGGCAGUGUCCUGGUUUCCACUGCGAGGACAAGGCCCCAAGACUUCCAGGGACCUGGCCCCACAGGGAGGACCUGGGCUUCUGGGUGCUUGGGCUGAGGUUGUGCGGGAAGUCCACAUCCUAGAAAGAACCCAGGCUCCAGACUCCAGAAGGAAUAUCACCCCAAAGUGACCUUUGCAGUGGGCUUGUCCAGCUGGCAGUCACUGCCGCUGCCAUCUGUGCAGAAUCAGCCACUGUGGGGGGGCUAGGCCCUCCUGCCUGGGGCAGCCCUUCCAUAUUGCCCCCGCCCCCUGGCUGAAUUUGGGAGCUCUGUGUGGUCAGCAAAAGCCACUGCUGUCCAGGCUGGUGCUGUGAGAAUUAAGUGCUCAGAGGGCCCGGGCGUCCAGGAGACAAGAAAGUGUGUGGUUUCAGUAUGUUCAAAAGGGACAAUCGCUUGCAGUUAGUAGAUCUAGCGAUCUAGUUGGGAGAUAAUGGUGUUUACCCCAUAUGAAGUAUUCAAUAGUUCUACUUGUGAAUUUGUAUUUAUUUUGAGUUAUACUUGACACAGAAUUCCUUUUUUUUUUUUUUUUUAAAGAAAAAUACUAUGUGUGUAUUUUGAAAAGAAAAUUCAUGGAUGUUAAAAUUUCUGCAUGGUUUCCAAUUUUUCUCACAACACUGAAUUUGUUACCUUCUCCCGAAAGAUCUUCACAGUGAUUUUUGUCUGUAUAUAUUUGAGGGCCUUUUUUAAAAAAAAAAGAAGAAAAAGAAAAAG